rnacentral:misc_RNA from 1 species
UCACGGUUUACACCGGCAGUCUCGCUAGAGUCCCCAACUUUACUUGCUGGCAACUAACGAUAGGGGUUGCGCUCGUUAUGGGACUUAACCCGACACCUCACGGCACGAGCUGACGACAACCAUGCAGCACCUUGUAAGUAGUCCCGAAGGAAAGGAGAGUUUCCCCCCCAUGCAACCUACAUUUAAACCCAGGUAAGGUUCCUCGCGUAUCAUCGAAUUAAACCACAUGUUCCUCCGCUUGUGCGGGCCCCCGUCAAUUCCUUUGAGUUUCAUUCUUGCGAACGUACUCCCCAGGUGGAUUACUUAAUGCUUUCGCUCAGUCGCUUGCAAUAUAUCGCAAACAACGAGUAAUCAUCGUUUACAGCGUGGACUAC